rnacentral:tRNA from 1 species
GGCACUAUGGCUGAGGGGUAAAGCGCUUGGCUUCUGAACUGGAGAUCUUGGGUUCGAAUCCUGUUGAAGACU